ACGUUAGCGGCGGACGGGUGAGUAACACGUGGGUAACCUACCUAUAAGACUGGGAUAACUCCGGGAAACCGGGGCUAAUACCGGAUAAUACAUGAAACCGCAUGGUUUCAUGAUGAAAGACGGUUUUGCUGUCACUUAUAGAUGGACCCGCGGCGUAUUAGCUAGUUGGUAAGGUAACGGCUUACCAAGGCAACGAUACGUAGCCGACCUGAGAGGGUGAUCGGCCACACUGGAACUGAGACACGGUCCAGACUCCUACGGGAGGCAGCAGCC
rnacentral:rRNA from 1 species